rnacentral:rRNA from 1 species
ACUGGAACAACUUACCGAAAGGUGAGCUAAUGCCGGAUGAGUUAUAUAAGUGCAUGUUUAUAUAGGAAAAGUUGGGGAGACCUGACGCUGAAAGAUGGACUCGCGUCCCGUUAGCUAGUUGGUAGGGUAAUGGCCUACCAAGGCGACGAUGGGUAGCCGGCCUGAGAGGGUGGCCGGCCACACUGGGACUGAGACACGGCCCAGACUCCUACGGGAGGCAGCAGUGGGGAAUUUUGCGCAAUGCUCGUAAGAGUGACGCAGCGACGCCGCGUGAAUGACGAAGGCCUUCGGGUCGUAAAGUUCUUUCGACAGGGAAGAAAAUGCCUAUAAGUAACUGUGUAUGUAUUGACGGUACCUGUAUAAGCAGCCCCGGCUAACUCCGUGCCAGCAGCCGCGGUAAUACGGAGGGGGCGAGCGUUGUUCGGAGUGACUGGGCGUAAAGAGCACGUAGGCGGUGUUGUAAGUCAUUAGUCAAAGACUAGAGCUCAACUUUAGUAAGGCUAGUGAUACUAUAAUACUAGAGUAUCAGAGAGGAUUGCAGAAUUCCUGGUGUAGCGGUGAAAUGCGUAGAUAUCAGGAGGAAUACCGUUAGCGAAGGCGGCAAUCUGGCUGGAAACUGACGCUGAGGUGCGAAAGCGUGGGUAGCAAACAGGAUUAGAUACCCUGGUAGUCCACGCUGUAAACGAUGGAUGCUAGGUGU